GACGAACGCUGGCGGCGUGCUUAACACAUGCAAGUCGAACGAAGAGCGAUGGAAGCUUGCUUCUAUCAAUCUUAGUGGCGAACGGGUGAGUAACGCGUAAUCAACCUGCCCUUCAGAGGGGGACAACAGUUGGAAACGACUGCUAAUACCGCAUACGAUCUAAUCUCGGCAUCGAGGAUGGAUGAAAGGUGGCCUCUAUUUAUAAGCUAUCACUGAAGGAGGGGAUUGCGUCUGAUUAGCUAGUUGGAGGGGUAACGGCCCACCAAGGCGAUGAUCAGUAGCCGGUCUGAGAGGAUGAACGGCCACAUUGGGACUGAGACACGGCCCAGACUCCUACGGGAGGCAGCAGUGGGGAAUCUUCCGCAAUGGACGAAAGUCUGACGGAGCAACGCCGCGUGAGUGAUGACGGCCUUCGGGUUGUAAAGCUCUGUUAAUCGGGACGAAAGGCCUUCUUGCGAAUAGUUAGAAGGAUUGACGGUACCGGAAUAGAAAGCCACGGCUAACUACGUGCCAGCAGCCGCGGUAAUACGUAGGUGGCAAGCGUUGUCCGGAAUUAUUGGGCGUAAAGCGCGCGCAGGCGGAUUGGUCAGCCUGUCUUAAAAGUUCGGGGCUUAACCCCGUGAUGGGAUGGAAACUGCCAAUCUAGAGUAUCGGAGAGGAAAGUGGAAUUCCUAGUGUAGCGGUGAAAUGCGUAGAUAUUAGGAAGAACACCAGUGGCGAAGGCGACUUUCUGGACGAAAACUGACGCUGAGGCGCGAAAGCCAGGGGAGCGAACGGG
rnacentral:rRNA from 1 species